GACGAACGCUGGCGGCGUGCCUAACACAUGCAAGUGGAGCGACGGACCAGGGCUUGCCCUGGGGCCAAGCCGCGAACGGGUGAGUAACACGUGGGUAACCCACCCCGUUGACCGGGACAACCCGAGGAAACUCGGGCUAAUACCGGAUGAGCCCUACGGACUCCAGUCCGUCGGGGAAAGGUAGCUUCGGCUUCCGCUACGGGAAGGGCCCGCGGCCCAUUAGCUAGUUGGUGAGGUAACGGCUCACCAAGGCAACGAUGGGUAGCUGGUCUGAGAGGACGAUCAGCCACACUGGGACUGAGACACGGCCCAGACUCCUACGGGAGGCAGCAGUGGGGAAUCUUGCGCAAUGCGCGAAAGCGUGACGCAGCAACGCCGCGUGGGGGAAGACGGCCUUCGGGUUGUAAACCCCUUUCAGGAGGGACGAAGGUGUGGCGGUUAAUAGCUGUCCGCACUGACGGUACCUCCACAAGAAGCUCCGGCUAACUACGUGCCAGCCGCCGCAGUAACAC
rnacentral:rRNA from 1 species